CCCUUUAAUGAUGAAAAACACAUUUUUUACUUUUUUCUGGUACCUCUUAUGUCAGAAGGCGUAUUUUCGGAUGCGUCUUCGAUGAUCUAACUGGACUUCUGAAU
rfam:Penicillium brasilianum genome assembly, contig: SCAF14